CCUACGGGAGGCAGCAGUGGGGAAUAUUGCACAAUGGGGGAAACCCUGAUGCAGCGACGCCGCGUGAAGGAAGAAGUAUUUCGGUAUGUAAACUUCUAUCAGCCGGGAGGAAAAUGACGAUACCUGACUAAGAAGCCCCGGAUCACUACGUGCCAGCAGCCGCGGUAAUACGUAGGGGGCAAGCGUUAUCCGGAUUUACUGGGUGUAAAGGGAGCGUAGGCGGUUUAUCAAGUCAGAAGUGAAAGCCCGGGGCUCAACUCGGGGACUGCUUUUGAAACUGGUGAACUAGAUUGCAGGAGAGGUGAGUGGAAUUCCGGGUGUAGCGGGGAAAUGCGUAGAGAUUAGGAGGAACACCAGUGGCGAAGGCGGCUUACUGGACGGUAAAUGACGCUGAGGCGCGAAAGCGUGGGGAGCAAACAGGAUUAGAUACCCGUGUAGUC
rnacentral:rRNA from 1 species